CUUGAAAUGGGCUGAGUCCCUCUUGCUCACCCUUGACUUGGAAAAACCAGUUUCUCUUUUAUUGUCUGUUACUAAUCUCUAUUCUAAAAAUUCAGCUCAAUUCUCAACCAUACUCCAAACUCUCUCUUUUCCAGCUACCUUUACUCCCUCUCCUUCAAUUCCACUUUCCUCUGCUUACUUUUUUUUUUUUUCUGACAGGGUCUCACUUUGUCGCCCGGGCAGGAGUGCAGUGGCUCAAUCUUGGGCUCACUGCAGCCUCAACCUCCCAGGUUCAAGCGAUUCUCCUGCCUCAGCCCCUCAAGUAGCUGGGACUACAAGCGCACACCACCACGCCUGACUAAUUUUUUGUAUUUUUUUGUAGAGGCGGGGUUUCACCAUGUUGCCCAGACUGGUCUUGAACUCCUGAGCUUAAGCAAUCCACCUGCCUCGGCCUCCCAAAGUGUUGGGAUCACAGGCGUGAGCCACCGCAUCCGGCCUCAUGUUCUUUUUCAUUAAAGAGAGAAAUCAACUAUUCAGGACCGGCCCCCACCUUUCCUCAGGAGUCAUUUCUGUUCCGCACAGGCCUGCUGAACUGGGUGCUUUAUAUAGGACACUGUCAUCUCUCAAGUACCCAUCUUGGAGGGUACGGACCCCACAUGAGGGUGAGGCUCUCUGCACACUCCAGAGUGAGGACUUUAAUAAUCUAGUGGACUGUACAUGUUGGGAGGGGAAGAGCGGGGUGCCGAGGGUCUGGAGGGAGAAGAAUUGACUGCCCCUUUUGCUCUUGGAGUUAAGCAGAAAUCUAAA
rnacentral:lncRNA from 1 species